UGUGGAGAUGAUAGAGUCACACAACUGUCCUGAGUAUGACGACGUUGCUGCUGCAGCACAGACUGAAGACACAGAGGACCAGGAAGAUCUGGUGUGAGGCAAUUUGAUUGAUUGAAGCAUCAGGUGCACUGUGAUUGGUUGAUGAAAGUAUUUGGGAGGGAACAGGAAGUCUCUCUCCCUUACCAUCCCCGGUUGCAGCAGCAGCAGUUUGUACAGCAUAACCUUUAGAGCAAGAGUAUUGUUGUGUUGUGUCUUUUCUUUCUCUUUUCUGAUUGGUCGUCCAGUUUCCGCAGCAAUAUAUCUGUGAGCUUUAGUUCUGAUGUUGGUUUAGGUUUGGGGAAGAUUCUCAGAUCCUUCGAUCCUUUGUGGGUUGGUGUGUUGAGUUUUCCUUCUUUUGUCCAUUUUGCCGGCCUAUUGCUGAAGUUGUUGUCUUUUCUACAAUAAAUAUAUUUUCUUUUUGCUGUUACCCUCUGAACUGUGUUGGACGUCUUAGUGAUGAGCCUUUGUGGCUUUGGUAUCACCACGUGACUCGUAUCUUAUACAUGAUAUUAAUGUGGUUAUUACAUAGAUAAUGAAUUAUUUUGUAUAGUGAUUUUAUGAUUCUUUCUUUUCUUUUUUGUUUUCACUCCAU